CAGCAGCCGCGGUAAUACCGGCACCGCGAGUGGUCGGGGUGAUUAUUGGGCCUAAAGCGCCCGUAGCCGGCCCGGCAAGUCCCUCCUUAAAGCCUCGGGCCCAACCCGAGGACGGGGGGGAUACUGCCGGGCUAGGGGGCGGGAGAGGCCGGCGGUACUCCCGGGGUAGGGGCGAAAUCCGUUAAUCCCGGGAGGACCACCAGUGGCGAAGGCGGCCGGCUGGAACGCGCCCGACGGUGAGGGGCGAAAGCCGGGGGAGCGAACCGGAUUAGAUACCCGGGUAGUCCCGGCUGUAAACGAUGCGGGCUAGCUGUGGGGCGGGCUCAGAGCCCGCCCAGUGGCGCAGGGAAGCCGUUAAGUCCGCCGCCUGGGGAGUACGGCCGCAAGGCUGAAACUUAAAGGAAUUGGCGGG
rnacentral:rRNA from 1 species